UACGGAGGGUGCAAGCGUUAUCCGGAUUUACUGGGUUUAAAGGGUGCGCAGGCGGAUAUGUAAGUCAGUGGUGAAAUCUCCGGGCUUAACCCGGAAACUGCCGUUGAUACUAUAUAUCUUGAAUGCUGUGGAGGUAAGCAGAAUAUGUCAUGUAGCGGUGAAAUGCUUAGAGAUGACAUAGAAUACCUAUUGCGAAGGCAGCUUACUACGCAGAUAUUGACGCUCAUGCACGAAAGCGUGGGGAUCAAACGGG
rnacentral:rRNA from 2 species